CAAAAUUAUUUUCUACGAUCGUGUCACCAAAUUCUAAUUAGCCCCCGUGUCUGGCAUCAGGUAGUACAGACUACAGAGUACAAAUAUAAAAUCACAAAACAGCAAUAUACACAAUUUACAAUGUAAUUUAAUCACAUUGUUUGUCAUUUGAGCUGGGCCUCUUAGACAAGCAAGACGCGUAUAGUAUUAUCUAGAGAAUAUCACAAACGCGUACAUACAUUCAAUACAUUUUGGGGGUGAUGCCCAAGGAAAUUAGUUUAAAAAUAAUCAUGAGUGAACGAAUACAGCAGACGUGUUAGAGGUGAAAAUUUUAUUAACUUCUGCUUUUCAUUUUGUAUCAUGUUAUUUUGGGUGUGCGUUCAAGAAUAGCGGACCAGUCCUUUCACUUUGCGAUUUGUGUUGUGAAAAUACUCUUUCAAGCUCCGAUAAAAAGUCGUAAGAGUCUUUGAUCCAAUGUAUUCGAGAUAUAUCGGGACAGUAACGUAGAAAAUGUGCAAAAACAAAUUGUUUUAUUGAAAAAGCAUAAAGUUUUACGAGUAUGUUCCUCCUUGUGCGUCACUAUUGCGUGUCGUAUGUGAAAUGAUUGUGGUGAACUAUCGAUUAGGCAGUAUUGUGCGAUGAUAACUGCUAUUGUGAUAAUUAAUUUAUUUAAAUCCGUAUCCCGAUGUGACGCCGGGCCCAUCGGCUUAAAGAUUUUGUAACGCAUUGCUUCUUCUGUUUAUAGCCGACGACUGGUGCGCGCGCAGAUUUGCGUUGCCAUGGUUACGGGGUAGGGGUCCGCCCGCAGUCUGGGUUUCUACUUUCGGCUGGAACACCGCAAGGAGGAUUUAUGUGUCCCUAAUAACUAAAUUAUCCACACAAAUACAAUUUGAUAUUGUUCGGCUUGUGCCCUAGACACAAAAAGGAGUCAAGCUGGCGGCCGAAGAGGAAGAUCAUGGGCUGUUGCUCCCCUUGUUCACGGAACCCGAGGACAGUGGCAUUGACAGCGACGACACAGGUCGAAACGCAUCGCGGAAUCGUCUGCAAGAAGACGCACAGCAGAGCGAAUCAAGCAGCACUGAUGAUGAAGAGACCAUACCCUGGUGGAGGAUACCUAUACUAAAACAUUGCGACGAGGAAUUGGCGAAAGUUAUACCAGUCUUACAUUGUGAUGAAGAUGAUGAGGAUCUAGACAUGAUGCAGUGGCCGCCGGUUCCAAAACCGGAUGAUCAUCUGCCCGUCAACAAGGAGAGUCCGGAGCGUGCUUCACCGCCUCUCUAUGAAGUCGAACUUACAGCUUCGGACGAAGAUGAAGACACAUCAGUUCUCGAACUAGUCAUUCCGAUGCAGUCGUCGCGUUACCAGCGAGUACCUACAUCGUCACCAAAGAAAGUGAAGCCAAAAUCACGAAAAUUCUUCUGCAAUAUUUUGUGCUGUGUCCGCAAGUAAAAUUUACAUUGUUUCGAAUGUUAUUACAAUGAUUUGUAUUUUGUAUCGAUGUUGUAGAAUGUAGUUGGAUUCUAUCGAUUUCUUAAUUAACUUGUAAUAACGAUUUUCGGGGCUAACUCCGAGCGUAAUCUCUAUCAAAUAUCGUUCAUUUAAUUAGCCGGUUAAUGUGAAUAUUUGCGUCUUUACUGGUUAGGACGGAUUGGAGUAGCAUUGGGCGCCUCGGAUUCGAAGUGUCGCGAGAGAUUAUAUUCGGCAAAUAUUUGAAGAGCAAAGUUAAAUUGACAUUGAAAACGUUGAUAGCGCUCAACAAGACUAGAGGAGAAUUCAAAAACGUGUAGGGCUUUAGCACAUAAAAGAUAAAUCAGACCUUAUUCUAAUAUGGGAAGUCUAAAUACCAAGUUUCUUUUAUUGCACUUUCCACACAGUCGUGAUUCAUAUGGGAUCCUAAUCUCAUUGACGGAUUGGAGUAUAAGGUAGUACGGAAGGAGAGUCUCUAAAAUUCCUUACGAAAUGCUCCGAUUUGUUUGAAAAAUUACUCAUCACUAACAGUGGUUCAUAAGUACUAUUUCACAUCUCGUAAUACCGAAACUGUGGUAUGCGCUUUUCUCGAUGUUAUUCUUUCAGCGCUGUAAUCAGACUGACGUACCUUUAGCACUGUAAUGGGCUACUUACCAUCAAGCCAAUCAAUCGCUGCUAUGUCUUCAACGGUAACAGCAUGAUUGCAGAAAGCAUCGUUUCGGAUUGUAUGUUGUUUCCACCGCGCAUUAAUCAAACUGCGUAAUUGUCUUAGUCGUAAUCUGCUUAUCUAUCUGCAUAUCCAUUUAAAAUAAAGCCAAAUCGAUUGUAAAAUUAUAAGGAGACAGGUAUUGUUGUAGUUAUUAAAAUCGUAAUUAACAUAUAUUUAGACGUAGUCGUUUUAAAUGUAAUUGUCUUAUAAUACGUAUCAAUGAUUUGUGAUUUCGGAUGACGUGAAAUUUUAAAUAUUCAUGUAUAAAAAUUUGUGUUGUCUUUUUGAGCUCAAACACAAACUAUAACAUGGUCACGCCAUGAAGCACUCACACCGAUUGAGACUCAGAAAUAACUUCUCAAAUUUGUAGGCUGUAAACACUAUGAUCAUGAAAUACGAGUAAAUGAAUAUUAGGUGUGUGAGACCCGUCUGGUAAUCUCAACUAGUAAAAAAAAAAGAAUUUAAGCAAAGGUAUUAUGUAAUUUAAGAAUAUUAAAACGACAAACAAAUUUUGAAAGCCCAUACAAUGCUUUUUAGAUUAACCACAAAAUUCUGAAGCAAAUCGUGUAUCUGAUUUGUUAAUAGAUUUUUUUUUUCUAUGAUUGUUUAUUGUAAUCACGGCUUAAUGAGAGUUUGACGUUUUAACUUCAAGCAUGUUAUUAGUAUUAUUUAUUAGGCAGAUUGGAACGAGGGAAGAUCGAAUGUAUUCGUAAAUAAUUAGGUAAUAUUUGUGCAUUCAACAACAACAACAACACACUAAAUUUAAAAAUCGGAUGAUUCAAUUAAUUAUGACUCUUUGGACUUUUUUUUUUGGUUUUUUUUAAUAUUAAAUUUAAUAUAUUACAAGAAAACUCGGAAUCUUGAUUAUAAGUUAUAUCCAUUUAUUUUUAUCGUAAUCUACAUUCAUUAUUAAAGUGGAUUUUCUAGAAAUAAUGAUGUCUGUGGCUCGUUUUGAUUACGAACCAGACAGAAUACGUUCUAACAUUAACAAUGCAUAAUAUAAUUGUUGCUUCUAUGCAACCGAUUCUAAGAACUGAUAUUAUAAGGUGGGCCGGUGGUGUCGGUACCACUCUGUGGCCAACUGUUUAAUAUAAAUCACUAUUAUCAUCAUCAUCAUCAUCAUCAGCCCACAGAUGUCUACUGUUGGGCGCACCCUCUCACAAGGCUAGCCAUAAUAACAGGUUAGCCUGUGUUGACUGUGUUACCUUCAACAGGUUGUCGGUUUGUCUUGUGGGAGGCCUACCGAUGCUUAUUUAAUAAUCUUACAUAUAUAAUUAAUAAUCUAUUAUAUUUUAUUUAAUAAUAAUAUUUAUAAUAAUUUAUUGAUAUCGCGCGUCGUUUGAAUAUAGAACAUGAUGGAUAAGUAAAGUAUUUUGUCGUGAAUCAAAGAAUGAAUUGAGGCACGCGAGUAAUUUUAAAAACGAUACGUUUGAUAUUAUGAUAUUUAAUAAAUAAAAUAAUAUGGAAGGAUGGUGUGCUCGUUCGACUCAUGUGUGCAGCAAAUAAAAAUGCUUACUUCAAUGACGACGAGAAUCAGUUAAUUAGUACUUUGACUAUACGAGUAUGUACAUAAAAUUUUCAUAUCAAUAUCGGUAGGCAGCGGCUUGGCUGUGCCCCUGGCAUUGCUGAUGUCCAUGGGCGACGGUAACCAAUCACCAUAAGGUGGGCCGCAUGCUCGUCUGCCUACAAGGACAAUAAAAAUAAAGAUUUUAUAGUUGACAUAAAACAUUCAAUAGCAAAAUUAAUUGUGUUGCUCGUCGGUUCAUUCACUCUAGCGUGCUUGCCGUGAAUCUUGAUGCAAUUAUUAACUCUCAAUCUAACUAGCUUAUUCAAUUAAAUUAAAUAACUUAUUCAAUUAAAUUCAAUUAUUUAUUAAUUUAACGAGCGUUCGCGAAAGACUGAGUCGAGCCUAAUUUAAAAUUUUUGAAACGUUCUAUCGUUCGUCUAGCUUUCGAGUUGUAUUUUUAUAUUAAACUUUUUUCCAUUGUUUUUAAGUUUUAUUUUUAUAAUGCCGUCACGAGACACCUUCAGGAUGUGUUGGAAUAUUUCAAAAUUGAAUAUUAACCGUUUGUUUGAGUGUAACAUUUUAAAUGUACUAUGACUAUUCGUAGAUCAAAUAAUAAAUUAUGAUUAUUAGAAAUAAAAAGCAUAUUGUACUACAAUAAUAAAUGGUGGAAUUA